rnacentral:lncRNA from 1 species
AUGGAUCCAGACCUUGAAAAAGCUGAAGAAUUCUCUGACACAGAAGACCCCCUGAGCCAUCUCAGUGUAGAUGAUGAAGAGGAGGAACGGGAGGGAGACGAAGAGAAGGAAGAAGAAGAUGACGAGGAAGAUGCAAAAAUUUUCAAUGCUUGGAUGCUGAAAUACAAGGGCGGGGAACAUCAUGAGAAACCAGAGAAAGAGGAUGCUGAGGAAGAAGACCCAGAAACAGGACAGCUUGAAAGCGGAAGCACCACAGAAUCCCCAGUGAAAAUGAGGGCUGACCGUCGGGCUUCGCUGCCAUGUCCAUCAGCACUUUCGUCCAUACACCUGUCUCGUCUGCACUCAUCCACGAGGGCCCCGGUGACAGCAAGCGUGCUGCUGCGACGGUCCUCAUCACGGCGUCUCCUCCCAUUGCCACAGGAAGCCACUGCCCCCACCCCCGAAAGAAGACCCUCUAUCAUCAGCACGAUCCCUAAAACCAUAGUAACAGAGAAGCGGGCCACAUUCAGAAGACGCAACGUCAUGUCACUGAGCGAUGCAGACAGCGUGUGUCUGAUCUGUCACAAUGACCUGAGUAAAGGAACCGGCGGCACCACAGAACUGCAGUGUUCUCACAGCUUUCACAAAGAGUGUAUCCAGGAGUGGCUAUGGAGGAAACAAUUCUGUCCGACCUGUCGUGUCCAGGUGUCGAUGCCACGGCCCGUCUUUUGGAGCUCCACUCGUGUCAAAGUCCCCUGAAACAUAGCACAGUCAUAGUGCAGCGUGAUGGAUAAAAGGAUAAAGAUACAUGACAAAUUAAUGCAUUUAAUAAGUGAAUUUAAAAUCUGUUCUAGAUUUAUAAGGAUAGGGAUCUGCAGGUGUCCAUUAUUUAUAAAUGUAGCAGUGACUAUACAAAUGAUCUAUUUUAAAUUUAAACCACAGUAACCUCACUUGAGUCGAUGUGCGCGCGUGUGUGUGUGUGUGUGUGUAUGUGUUUGUGAGGGGAGGGGGGUAGUGCUCUUUUAAUGAUUUCUUUAUUUAAUUACUAACUAAUUGUUUUUACAAGUUUAGGAGAGUUGUCAAGAUUUUUAAAGAAAGUUUAAGGAAAAAAAUAUUGUCAUUCU